UAUAGUUUGGAGCUUGAGUGUUAAGCAUUGUGUUAAAGGCUUGGUCCCCAGGGUGGUGCUUUUGGGAGGUGGCAGGACCUUGAGGAGAGGCCUAGGGGUGGGGUCUUAGGUCACUGGGGACAUUCCCUUGAAGGAAACUUCAGGACCUUGGUGUCUUCUUCUUUCUGUCUUUUGGCUCCCUGUCUUGUGAUGUUAGUGGUUUUUCUCUGCCACAUGCUCCUUUCUUGAUGUGCUCUGUUACUAUUGACUUCAAGCAAUGGUGCUAAUAGACUGGUGCCUCUAAAACUUCAAGCUAAAGUCAACCUUGUCUCUUUAUAAGUUAACUAUCUUCUCAGGUUUUUCAUUACAACCAUGGGAAGCUGACCAACACAACUGGUGUGGGUCUAAGGAGCAACUCAUGCUGUCAUGCCUGAAGUCCCUCUCCUUUUUCCUACUGUAAACUUUUAAUGCUGUAAAUUUCCCACUCAGCACUGCUUUAGCUGCAUUUAGCUUAUUUGAUGUGCUGUGUUUUCAUUUUUUACUGCUCAGGGUUCUGCAGAGAAACAAAACCAAUGGAAUCUCUCUCUCUCUCUCUCUCUCUCUCUCUCUCUCUCUCUCCAUAUAAAAAUAUUACAUACGUAGAUGUAAUAUCAUUAUGGUAAUAUUAUGAGUAUUAGCUCACAUGGUUAUGGAGACUGAGAAGUCUCCAAAUACACCAACCAUAAGAUGGGGGUCAGAGAGCCAGUGGUGUCGCUCAAAUGCCUGAGAGCUGGAGAGGUGAUGGUGCAGAUUCCAGUACAGGUCUGAAGGCUUGAGAAUCAGAAGCACUAAGGGUAGGAGAAGACCUAUCUAGCUCAAGCACUCACGCAAAGUUGAUCCAACCUUCCUCUAACUUUUUUU
rnacentral:lncRNA from 1 species